CGGAGGAAAAAGGAAACCAACAGGGAUUGCCCUAGUAACGGCGAGUGAAGCGGCAACAGCUCAAAUUUGAAAUCUGGCCCUCGCGGUCCGAGUUGUAAUUUGCAGAGGAUGCUUUGGGCGCGGUGCCUUCCGAGUUCCCUGGAACGGGACGCCAUAGAGGGUGAGAGCCCCGUCUGGUUGGAUACCAAGCCUGUGUAAAGCUCCUUCGACGAGUCGAGUAGUUUGGGAAUGCUGCUCUAAAUGGGAGGUACAUGCCUUCUAAAGCUAAAUAUUGGCCAGAGACCGAUAGCGCACAAGUAGAGUGAUCGAAAGAUGAAAAGCACUUUGAAAAGAGGGUUAAAUAGUACGUGAAAUUGUUGAAAGGGAAGCGCUUAUGACCAGACUUGGGCUUGGUUGAUCAUCCGGCGUUCUCGCCGGUGCACUCUGCCGGUCCAGGCCAGCAUCAGCUCGCCGCGGGGGAUAAAGGCUUCGGGAAUGUGGCUCCCUCGGGAGUGUUAUAGACCGUUGCGUAAUACCCUGCGGUGGGCUGAGGUUCGCGCAUCUGCUCGGAUGCUGGCGUAAUGGUCAUCAGCGAACCCGUCUUGAAACAC
rnacentral:rRNA from 1 species